UUCCAAGACUCCCUUUUCCAAUAGAGAGCGACAGGCCUCUCAGCCAAUCAGCGAAGAGACCGGUGCAACUAGGAGCAAGCCAAUAAGAAGCGUUGGGUGACUCGCGUGAUCGCAGCCUUAAUCGUUUCAACAAAACGUGGGGUCUGUAGUGCAAGCGGCGCUCUUCCCCCGUUCCUUGGCGCGGCCGCUCAGCGGCAGGCUACGCUGCCCACGCUGCUUGCGGGGAGGCCCCUCUGGCGAGAGAGCGUCAUUCCCGCUGUCUGCCGCCGGGAGAGGCAGGCAGGCUGCGGGCACCCGCCUCCCGCUGCAGUCCCGGCACCUCCUGCAAUUGAACUCACAAUUUGGGUAAAUUUGUAGACCUCCAUCACCACAACAGGGCCUUCCCCUCAGUUUUAGCCAUCAAAGGACUAAUACAUUGCUGCCUGGAGGAAUCACUGCAUGCAUUCUAUUUUCAUCUGAAAAAGAGAGAGUUCUCCCUUUAGUGAAUUUCCAUGGAUGAACUCCCCAUUCAGCUAAGAAAGUUAAUUUGAGCAUAAGCAUGUUCUACCAUGCAAUUUAAGAGAGGAGGACACGUCUUCAAAGUUUUUUAGUUUUUGAAAUGAACAAGGGCAGUUCCCAGACUACUGCACUGGGCAACACAGGGAGAAGACAAUUGUGUAACGGGGGGCUUGCCCCUGGGCUGGAAUGCCUGGACUUAAGUCAGCCCUGAGUACAAGAGGAGCCCCAGCUGACAGGAAUCAAGUGAUUCCAAUAUAAAAGGCAGCAAGGCCAGGGGGCAGGCUGGGCAAGUUUGAGAAACUGUGGAGCUGGGAUUGAUGCGGGGAGUAGAUACAAGGAUCAAGUGAGUGAAAAUAAGGAGAAGACAAAGGAAGCAGAGCUAGAAGGGAAUAGCAGAUAAAGCUGUAGCAAGAGAGAGUCUCCUGCAGAGUCCCUGAGGAAGGGACAGUACCUCAGGGAGGAGAGGCUGUGUCCAGUUUAAGGCUGGAU